CUCAAUGAUCUAUGCUGGCUCUGGAGGCCUCUUCAAAGCUGAAAUCCACCAUGUAAUGACCGUGGCAUGAACCACAACCGGAAAGAGCAGCAUCUGUGAAUGGUGGAAGACGUGCCUGUUUUCCGCUCUAGGCUCCCUGGAAAAAGGAGCAGAACUCCACUGAGAGACUCCAACGCAUCUAAGCAUUCUCAGCUUCAACCAAACCAGCCACGUCCACGUCCCAAGCCUGGAGUCAGUGCUGGAGGACUGCUUUAGAGGGAGUGUCAACCGAUGUGACUUUGAUGGAACUCUGAAAGAUUGAUGGCAAGCGACGAUAUACUUGGAUCGCCUGAACUUAGAGACUGUGUCUGAUUCACCUCCAAUGCAUGGCACAAUGCAUGACACAAUGGGUGUUCAAUAUCUAUUGAAUAAAUGAAGUAACCUUUAUUCUUCCUAUAUUAGCCCAUGUGAGCCUGCAGAUGUGCCCAAGGGAAGCAUUCCAUAAACAAAUGAUUUGCAUAAAAUCAUCUGUGCCUCUUCAAACUCGUGCAGAUAUUCAGUUUGGGCUCUAUUCAAAUUUUAAGCUCAAGUUCCUGCCAAUUUUAUGUUAUCAAACAGGCUUGCUCAUCUUAGUUAGAAGCCUCAUAAAAUUAUCAUCACUUAGAGAUUGCUCACCCUCCCAGGGAGCUACUGAAACUUUAUCCCAAAUCAAAGAUACAUAAAUUGGUUCCAUUUUGCAUUUGGAAUUCUGAGUAAGCAAGGCGAUUCCAGUCUUAUCAUAUCUCAGUAGUUGGCAGUAGAAGAAGCCACAACACUCAUCCAGUCACUGACCUGGCUCCUCAACAUGGCAGACAUUCCUGCAGAAUAAGAAACCCUCCACAGAACUCAGCUUCCUGGGAUCCAGGCAACAACAGAUGCUUUGCAUUUGAGUUACUCCCGUAUGCUGCCUCCUGAAUUAUCAUAUCUAUUCAUUUUCUGCCACACAUUAAAAUUCUGACUUGUACUGAAAACCAUGCUGAUCUGCACAAAACUGUCUAUUUUGUUGCCUUUCACUGAAGGGAUAAUGAUUCUAUACCUAACAGGCAAACUGUCUCAGAGCAUCUUACUUCUCUGCAUUUUUGCCACAGUCACUUCCACUCUUCUCAUUCCCAACGAGAGAGGAAUAAGAUCAUUAGUAGUUUAGUGUUCCACUGGGACCUGAGAAGUAAUAAUAAUAAUAAUAAUAAUAAUA
rnacentral:lncRNA from 1 species